ACAAUGAAGUAAAGCCAAUCGCAAUAACAUCGUAUUAUUUCUGGUUGAUACUUUCAAAAUAUAACAAUUAAAAUUGACGUGUAGUUGCGCAGUGUGGCCACCGGAGGGCAGCACUACUUAUUUUAUCCAUAGAUAAUGCACGAUUUCAAACAACCAGUAUUGUAAACUUUGUGAAUGCGCGGUGGACCUAACAUCUUAGCGUAUUAUUUGGAAUUUACCAGUAAAGUGAAUAUUAAUAGUAGUCACAUAAGGUAGUUAGAGGUUAAGAAGAGAGGAUUUCGACUUGAUUCUUGGUAAUUGUUUCCGCUCCACUCCAGUCCACUAGGCGGCGGUAGUGGUUUUAUAAGCUGGCUGCCAACCGCCCAUAUUUAUAAGAAGAGGAAGCAGCAGCAGUCACUUGGUUGCUGUCUUCCUCGACAGAAACAUCACUUUUGAAACUGAUCACUUACAACAAUUGGAAGCACUCAUAGACUGGACUCCAAAUAGGUAUGUAAAAUGUGUUAAAGUGAAGCCACUUACACACUGGACUUAAAUCAGGUACUGGUCCUCCCACAGACAUCAGCUUUAUAACAAUGUUGUAAUUUUUUUUUUUUAAGCAAAUGUUAACCAGUAUUUAAUUUUUGAUCCAAUAAAACUUCUAAAAGUAUU